UGCAGUCGAUCGCUCUUUUCGGAGAGAGAGGCGCACGGGUGAGUAACACGUGGGAAUAUACCCUUGAGUACGGAAUAACUAUUGGAAACGAUAGCUAAUACCGUAUACGCCCUACGGGGGAAAGAUUUAUCGCUCAAGGAUUAGCCCGCGUCUGAUUAGCUAGUUGGUGAGGUAAUGGCUCACCAAGGCGACGAUCAGUAGCUGGUUUGAGAGAAUGAUCAGCCACACUGGGACUGAGACACGGCCCAGACUCCUACGGGAGGCAGCAGUGGGGAAUAUUGGACAAUGGGCGCAAGCCUGAUCCAGCCAUGCCGCGUGAGUGAAGAAGGCCUUCGGGUUGUAAAGCUCUUUCAGACGUGAAGAUGAUGACGGUAACGUCAGAAGAAGCCCCGGCUAACUUCGUGCCAGCAGCCGCGGUAAUACGAAGGGGGCAAGCGUUGUUCGGAAUUACUGGGCGUAAAGCGCGCGUAGGCGGCGUCGUCAGUCAGAGGUGAAAUCCCAGGGCUCAACCUUGGAAUUGCCUUUGAUACUGCGAUGCUUGAGUUCGAGAGAGGGUGGCGGAAUACCCAGUGUAGAGGUGAAAUUCGUAGAUAUUGGGUAGAACACCAGUGGCGAAGGCGGCCACCU
rnacentral:rRNA from 1 species